rnacentral:rRNA from 1 species
UACGUAGGGGGCAAGCGUUGUCCGGAUUUAUUGGGCGUAAAGAGCGUGUAGGCGGCCAGGUAGGUCCGUUGUGAAAACUCGAGGCUCAACCUCGAGACGGUCGGCGGAAACCCUCUGGCUAGAGUCCGGAAGAGGAGAGUGGAAUUCCGUGGUGUAGCGGUGAAAUGCGCAGAUAAUCAGGAAGAACACCCGUGGCGAAGGCGGCUCUCUGGGACGGUACUGACGCUGAGACGCGAAAGCGUUGGGGAGCAAACAGG